CAACACCACAGAUGAAACGGUCAGACCUGAUCCACAUACAAUCUAUCGCCCCAGGUCGCAAUAGGUGAAGCCACACUUGAUCCUGGGACCAGCCCUUUUUCAGCCAGUCAUCAAGGCAGAAAUAAAUUUGCACCCCUCAAUGCCUCAGAAGCUGGACCGGGGAACACGCCAGGACCUUGACGGAGGCGGAGGCUGACGGAACGGGCUUUCUAGUUUACUGAAUGGUGUGUAAGCUGAAGGAACGGAGGAUGGCACGGGAGCCUUGAAGGCUGUGAAGCCGUGCAUCAGUCCAGUCAGCUCUGAAAAGAGCCCUGCUCCCUCAAACGGAAGGUACUGAAGGGUAGUCUGCAUCUCCUGGGACAGCCCAGAGGACUGUAACGAGGAGCUGCACCUCAUGACCACCGCAGAGGUGACUACCCUGGCUGCAGAGUCCAUAGCUUUCCAGGCCAUCUGAAGGUUACCGCUCGCCACCACUUUGCCCUCUUCCACCAAAAUGGCAAACUCCUGGGCUCGAUCCUGUGGGAAGCCCUCCUGAAACUUGCUGAUGGAGUUGUACCUACCGAGCAGGGCUGGAUGGCUAGACACCCAAAAUUCAGGCUGGCUGUCAAAUAAA